AUCCACACAGAUAAAAGUUGUAGAGAAUCGUUCAGAACCAAAAAAUAAACUUUUGAAUUGGUCCGAUUUAUCAUCCGACUUGAAUAUUGUUGAAAAUAUUUAGGGAAAGCAGGAGUGGGCCAGAAAUACGAAAAAAAGACGUGGGUUUUAACAGCAUUCGAAUUUGCACUUGGCCCUUAGGAGUUAAAGUAAAUACUGAAAAAACUAGUCAGCAGAUAAAACUGAAGAAAUUAUUGAAUAUUUAUUCCGAUAUAAGAAAAUAAAUUUUCGAGCCAAAUAGUUUUAAGCAGAAGCAUAGAGGCAAUGAAAACAAAAUGCAUAAUCGAAUGUGAAAUACACCAUGAAGGAAGUGACUGAAAUAAUAAACAAGUCGGGAAACCGGAAGCUGGAGGCUUC